rnacentral:rRNA from 1 species
GUGAGGAAUAUUGGUCAAUGGACGAGAGUCUGAACCAGCCAAGUCGCGUGAAGGAAGACGGUUCUAUGAAUUGUAAACUUCUUUUGUGCAGGAAUAAAGUGGGUUACGUGUAACCUUUUGUAUGUACUGUACGAAUAAGGAUCGGCUAACUCCGUGCCAGCAGCCGCGGUAAUACGGAGGAUCCGAGCGUUAUCCGGAUUUAUUGGGUUUAAAGGGUGCGAAGGUGGAUUGAUAAGUCAGCGGUGAAAGUUUGCAGCUUAACUGUAAAAUUGACGUUGAAACGGUCGGUCUUGAGUGCAAAUGAGGUAGGCGGAAUGUGUUGUGUAGCGGUGAAAUGCUUAGAUAUAACACAGAACUCCGAUUGCGAAGGCAGCUUACUGGGAUGCAACUGACACUGAUGCACGAAAGCGUGGGUAUCAAACAGGAUUAGAAACCCCAGUAGUCC